UGGGGAAUAUUGCACAAUGGAGGGAACUCUGAUGCAGCGACGCCGCGUGAGUGAUGAAGGAAUUCGUUUCGUAAAACUCUGUUCUAUGGGAAGAAAAGGACUGUACCAUAGGAGAAAGCUCCGGCUAAAUACGUGCCAGCAGCCGCGGUAAUACGUAUGGAGCGAGCGUUGUCCGGAAUUAUUGGGCGUAAAGGGUGCGCAGGCGGCUUUACAAGUUGGAUGUGAAAUAUUGUGGCUCAACUACAAACGUGCAUCCAAAACUGCAAAGCUUGAGUUAAGGAGAGGUAAGUGGAAUUCCUGGUGUAGCGGUGGAAUGCGUAGAUAUCAGGAGGAAUACCGGUGGCGAAGGCGACUUACUGGACUUAAACUGACGCUCAGGCACGAAAGCGUGGGGAGCAAACAGG
rnacentral:rRNA from 1 species